rnacentral:rRNA from 1 species
GGGCCCGCACAAGCGGUGGAGCAUGUGGUUUAAUUCGAUGCAACGCGAAGAACCUUACCAGGUCUUGACAUCCAACGAACCUUUACGAAAGUAGGGGGUGCCUUCGGGAGCGUUGAGACAGGUGGUGCAUGGUUGUCGUCAGCUCGUGUCGUGAGAUGUUGGGUUAAGUCCCGCAACGAGCGCAACCCUUGCUAUUAGUUGCUAACAUUUAAGGUGAGCACUCUAAUGGGACUGCCUGUGACAAGCAGGAGGAAGGUGGGGACGACGUCAAAUCAUCAUGCCCUUUAUGAUCUGGGCUACACACGUGCUACAAUGGAUGGUACAGAGAGCAGCGAGACCGCGAGGUGGAGCGAAUCUCAAAAAGCCAUUCUCAGUUCGGAUUGCAGUCUGCAACUCGACUGCAUGAAGUCGGAAUCGCUAGUAAUCGCGAAUCAGCAUGUCGCGGUGAAUGCGUUCCCGGGCCUU